AUGGUCGAUCUUCUGCUGAUUGCUGCAGGCAGCUCUUUCUUAAUUAGAGUAACUGAGGGGAGCCAAAGGAAGGAAAAAUUAAAAAAUUCCCACUACUUUCUCUUUGACUUUAAUUUUGUUAAAUAUUUCUACUGUUCUGCCGCUCCAGAUCAUGGUCCAAAGACUUUAGAUAUUCAGACACUUCCUAAGGGACUGGCAGCAUGCAGGAAUUCAGUGGAUGAAAGGAGAAGAAAUAUGCAAAGCAAGCAGGGAUGGUGGAGGCUGGCCCAACUCUUGAAUGCAAGGUACAUGCAUGAUUCCAGGAUCUGCUCACGCUUGAAACAUGUGAAUCUGAAGCAUCCUAAGUUUCUUUCUCAUAGCCAGUGGAGGAGCUUAGCUCUUCCAGAUGUCAUAGUUCACUUUCUGCAUGUGCUAUUCUUUUGAUGUCUCAGUUACAUGCUUAUAGUUAGAUCAGCCACAUCCUGGCUGCUGAGACCAGCUGCUGCUAUACCUGAAAUGUGAUCUUUUAGUUUCCUGGAGAAAGCAUCUUUUAGUUUUAUACCAUGAAAGUGAAAUCAAAUGCUAUGUCUGUACUUAGCAAAACAAGAAAAUGGCUUACUCAGUUUCCUGCAGGUACAAACACUGAGAAAUAGUAGGAAAGAAGUGAACUGCAGAAAGAACAAAAAGAAAGCAGCGGAAGAAAAAUAAGCUGUUAAAUGAAAUUUGGAGUCUUUAUGUGCCAUUAGAAAAGGCUAGAAUGCAGCAUCACUAAGCUCCCUUGAAAUGCCUCACGCAGAUCUAAUACUGUACGGCAGCAGUGCAGAGACAGCAGCUGGCUUUUGUUUUGCCUUCCUGCCUUUUCUGCAUCCUCUGUGAACUGUUCUGUCCAAACAGACUUUUUAAAUGUCUAACUGACCAAAGUCAGCACAUGAAAGUGUAGGAACGAGUAGCUGUGAAUGCUGUUUCAUAGUAUCCCUGAAACACUGGUUGCAAAGGCACCCUGGAGGUCCGGCAGCCCAGGCUCCCGCUCAAAGCAGGGCCUGCUUCAGCUCCAGUGGCGGAGCUGCCGGCACAAACGUGGUUUCGGUAUGGUAGCCAAUGCUUUAAGUACUGUCAUAAGCAACAUCGUGACAUUUGCAAAGAAAACACAAAACUUGUGACAAGUAACCCCCAAAGCCAAGUAAAGUAAUGGUUUCAGCUGGUGAUGCUUCAGGAGUGCGAGCUCCCUUUGGCACAAAAGCCCCCGCUCUGUUGCUGCGGGCCGUGGCCAAGGCCCUUUGCACGCUCGCACGGAGAAGCCUGCGCUCCUUUGACUGCUCUGAGCCUUUCCUGGGACUUCAGGCUCUGUGCCUUUCAUGAGAAAUGAAAAUACUGCUUUUUCUGCAGUUGAUUUAGGAGAACAAUAAAGCAUGUGAUUUCUGUAUGCUAAGUAAUUUU
rnacentral:lncRNA from 1 species